rnacentral:rRNA from 1 species
AGAGUUUGAUCCUGGCUCAGAGCGAACGCUGGCGGCGUGCUUAACACAUGCAAGUCGAGUGCGCGCCUGUAGCAAUACAGGUGGCGCACGGCGCACGGGUGCGUAACACGUGGGUAAUCUGCCCUUCGAUGGGGAAUAACUCCGGGAAACCGAAGCUAAUUCCGCAUAACAUUCCUUGAACUUCGGUUUGGGGAUUCAAAGCCGUAAGGCGUCGGAGGAGGAACCCGCGCACGAUUAGCUAGUUGGUAGGGUAACGGCCUACCAAGGCUUUGAUCGUUAGCUGGUCUGAGAGGAUGGCCAGCCACACUGGAACUGAGACACGGUCCAGACUCCUACGGGAGGCAGCAGUGGGGAAUCUUGCACAAUGGGCGAAAGCCUGAUGCAGCGACGCCGCGUGGGGGAUGAAGCUUUUCGGAGUGUAAACCCCUUUCGACCCGGACGAAUGCCCCGCAAGGGGACUGACGGUACGGGUAUAAGAAGCCCCGGCUAACUACGUGCCAGCAGCCGCGGUAAGACGUGGGGGGCCAGCGUUGCUCGGAAUUACUGGGUGUAAAGGGUUCGUAGGCGGUGUAGCAAGUCGGGAGUGAAAUCUCUGGGCUCAACCCAGAGACUGCUUCCGAAACUGCUGUGCUUGAGUGUGGGAGAGGCGCGUGGAAUUGCAGGUGUAGCGGUGAAAUGCGUAGAUAUCUGCAGGAACACCCGUGGCGAAAGCGGCGCGCUGGACCACUACUGACGCUGAGGAACGAAAGCUAGGGGAGCAAACAGGAUUAGAUACCCUGGUAGUCCUAGCCCUAAACGAUCAGGACUUGGGGUGCCGCACGUUCGUGCGUCGUC